rnacentral:rRNA from 1 species
CAGUAGCCACGGUAAUACGUAGGGUGCGAGCGUUAAUCGGAAUUACUGGGCGUAAAGCGUGCGCAGGCGGUUCGUUAAGACAGAUGUGAAAUCCCCGGGCUUAACCUGGGAACUGCAUUUGUGACUGGCGAGCUAGAGUACGGCAGAGGGGGGUAGAAUUCCACGUGUAGCAGUGAAAUGCGUAGAGAUGUGGAGGAAUACCGAUGGCGAAGGCAGCCCCCUGGGCCAAUACUGACGCUCAUGCACGAAAGCGUGGGGAGCAAACAGGAUUAGAUACCCGAGUAGUCCCUGUCUCUUAUAC